rnacentral:tRNA from 1 species
AGAUAGUUAGUAUAGUGAAUAAUACGUUAGUUUGUCGUACUAAAGAUACUUUUGUAUAAGUACUGUCUU